GUAGUUGAAAGGUCAGCCGCCAUAGGAUGGGUCUGCGGCCGAUUAGGUUGUUGUUGGGGUAACGGCCCAACAAGCCUGUAAUCGGUACGGGUUGUGGGAGCAAGAGCCCGGAGAUGGAUUCUGAGACACGAAUCCAGGCCCUACGGGGCGCAGCAGGCGCGAAAACUUUACAAUGCGGGAAACCGUGAUAAGGGAACUCCGAGUGCCCGUAAAAUCGGGCUGUCCAUCUGUUUAAAUAACAGGUGAAGAAAGGGCCGGGCAAGACCGGUGCCAGCCGCCGCGGUAAUACCGGCGGCUCGAGUGGUGGCCACUAUUACUGGGCUUAAAGCGUUCGUAGCUGGUCUGUUAAGUCUCUGGGGAAAUCUACUGGCUUAACCAAUAGGCGUCUCAGGGAUACUGGCAGACUAGGGACCGGGAGAGGUGAGAGGUACUUCAGGGGUAGGAGUGAAAUCCUGUAAUCCUUGGGGGACCACCUGUGGCGAAGGCGUCUCACCAGAACGGCUCCGACAGUGAGGGACGAAAGCUGGGGGAGCAAACCGGAUUAGAUACCCGGGUAGUCCCAGCUGUAAACGAUGCGCGUUAGGUGUAUCGGUGACCACGAGUCACCGAGGUGCCGAAGAGAAAUCGUGAAACGUGCCGCCUGGGAAGUACGGUCGCAAGGCUGAAACUUAAAGGAAUUGGCGGGGGAGCAC
rnacentral:rRNA from 1 species